rnacentral:lncRNA from 1 species
AACAUCUUUGAGGGUGACUGGGAGUCCCUGGGCAACCCUAGGGAAAUUAUGUAGAUCGUUUAUCUUUGCAAUAUUGUUGAUGUUCUAGUACUUCAAAUUUAAUUUAGUUCUUUAUUUCUCUACCAGAAUUCACUGAGAUUUCAAUGUUAUUCACUUGCAAAAGACCGUUACAUUAUUAGAGAUCGAUGCACCUCUUGCCAUUUUCCAUCCCCUGACUCCCGAUGCGACCCUUGGCUUUUCCUUGGCAACUGAGAUCCAUUAAUAUACCGAUACCCUCCUCAUGUAUUAACCAACCCCUCCAUUGCCUUGCCUCCAC